GAUGAACGCUGGCGGCGUGCCUAAUACAUGCCAGUCGAGCGAACAGACGAGGAGCUUGCUCCUCUGACGUUAGCGGCGGACGGGUGAGUAACACGUGGAUAACCUACCUAUAAGACUGGGAUAACUUCGGGAAACCGGAGCUAAUACCGGAUAAUAUAUUGAACCGCAUGGUUCAAUAGUGAAAGACGGUUUUGCUGUCACUUAUAGAUGGAUCCGCGCCGCAUUAGCUAGUUGGUAAGGUAACGGCUUACCAAGGCGACGAUGCGUAGCCGACCUGAGAGGGUGAUCGGCCACACUGGAACUGAGACACGGUCCAGACUCCUACGGGAGGCAGCAGUAGGGAAUCUUCCGCAAUGGGCGAAAGCCUGACGGAGCAACGCCGCGUGAGUGAUGAAGGUCUUCGGAUCGUAAAACUCUGCUAUUAGGGAAGAACAAAUGUGUAAGUAACUAUGCACGUCUUGACGGUACCUAAUCAGAAAGCCACGGCUAACUACGUG
rnacentral:rRNA from 1 species